rnacentral:rRNA from 1 species
CGGUUAAAAAGCUCGUAGUUGGAUUUCUGUCGAGGGCGGGCGGUCCGCACUAUGUGCGUGUAUCUUGUUCGGUCUUGGCAUCCUCUUGGGGAAUGCUUCUGUGCUUGAUUGCAUGGGGUGGAAUUCAAGACUUUUACUUUGAGGAAAUUAGAGUGUUCACGGCAAGCUACCGCUUUGAAUACAUUAGCAUGGAAUAAUAAUAUAGGGCGUAAGUUCUAUUUUGUUGGUUUCUAGGACU